AGAGGAAACAUAGUUGGUUUCCCAGCGUGCUUCAUCCGCAUCUCUCUUCUUUGCCAACUGAUGGGGACAGCAGCCCCUGGAGCCCUGAAGAAGCUGGUUGGUGCCAUUGGUGGGUCCGUGAUACUCCCUCUGAAUAUCCAGGAACAGCAGGUUGACAGCAUUGUCUGGACCUUCAACACAACUCUGGUCACCAUACAGCCAGGAGGGGCAAACAGGUUGGACAAUGUCAUAGUGACCCAAAGAAGUACAAGGACAGGGUGAGCUUCCCAAGCAAUACUCCCAAAAUUACUCCCUAAUUCUCAGCAACCUGAGGAAGAAGACUCGGGUGCCUACCGUGUGGAGAUACACAGCUCACAACCGGAAAUGUCACCCAGAGAUAUGAACUGCCCGUCUAUGGUAAGCAGAAUCAAUCCCAGUACCUGGGUGCAGUGGUGCACUCCAAGACGUUGAAGAAGCUCAAGCAGAGGCUGGAUAAACACUUGUCAAAGAAUGUGGGAGAGGGGAUUCUCGCAAUGAUGAAGUUUGUGUGGCUGAUCCCUGAGGUCCCUUCCCGCUCACCGAUUCUGCAAGAGGCAGUGUGGUACAGCAGUUGGGUGAUAUAGGGACUGGUGAUCUCACAGACGUAAGUCAAAU
rnacentral:lncRNA from 1 species